UAAUUUUGCUUAUAAAAAAAAUAUUAAAAAAAAAAAAAGUAUCUGUGAAUACGAUACUGAGAAGGGACCCACCCAUGGUACUGUAUUUUCUUAUUUCGUGACAAGCUGGUGACAAAUUGUGAUACAUGGGAUAUAAAAUUACAAUGAAGUCAUAAACAUAUAUGUUCAAUAAUUUGGUCAACAAAAUGUUAUCAUAAGUCUUAAUUUAAUUUCCUUUCAAAAUACAUGUACCUACUUUUUAUAAUUUAAAAUAUAUUUAUUUAUGUUAUAUAAUUUAAG
rnacentral:lncRNA from 1 species